UCUAGAACUCGAGAUAUGGGCUGAACACUGAACAAUGUCUGGGCUGCAGGACAGAUUCCGACAUCUCUUUUGUUGCUACAAUUUGAGCUUGAAAACGGUCGUUUUGAAUCUUGGACUCUUCAUGAAAGUUUUAGGCCUAUGUCUUAGUUUUCCAUC
rfam:Populus trichocarpa scaffold_7_contig_144, whole genome shotgun sequence.